rnacentral:rRNA from 1 species
UACGGAGGGUGCAAGCGUUAUCCGGAUUCACUGGGCGUAAAGGGCUCGUAGGCGGCCAACUAAGUCAGACGUGAAAUCCCUCGGCUUAACCGGGGAACUGCAUCUGAUACUGGAUGGCUUGAGUUCGGGAGAGGGAUGCGGAAUUCCAGGUGUAGCGGUGAAAUGCGUAGAUAUCUGGAGGAACACCGGUGGCGAAGGCGGCAUCCUGGACCGACACUGACGCUGAGGAGCGAAAGCCAGGGGAGCAAAGCGGG